rnacentral:rRNA from 1 species
UACGGGGGGGGCAAGCGUUGUUCGGAUUCAUUGGGCGUAAAGGGUGCGUAGGCGGCGCGGUAAGUCGGGUGUGAAAUCUUGGAGCUUAACUCCGAAACUGCAUUCGAUACUGCCGUGCUUGAGGACUGGAGAGGAGACUGGAAUUUACGGUGUAGCGGUGAAAUGCGUAGAUAUCGUAAGGAAGACCAGUGGCGAAGGCGGGUCUCUGGACAGUUCCUGACGCUGAGGCGCGAAAGCCAGGGGAGCAAACGGG